GAAAGUAAGCAAGGGCAGACGGUGGAUGCCUUGGCUCUCGGAGGCGAUGAAGGACGUGAUAAGCUGCGAUAAGCUUCGGGUAGGUGCAAAUAACCUUUGAUCCGGAGAUUUCCGAAUGGGGCAACCCGGCUGGUAGAAGGCCAGUCAUUCCGUAAGGAAGGCGAACGUGGGGAACUGAAACAUCUAAGUACCCAUAGGAGAAGAAAACAAAAGUGAUUCCGCAAGUAGUGGCGAGCGAACGCGGAACAGCCCAAACCGAUGAUGUUUAGGCAUUGUCGGGGUAGUAGGACCACGUUGUGGCAAGAGAUUAAGGAAGUAGAACGUUUUGGAACAAACGGCCGUAGACGGUGAAAGCCCAGUAUACGACUCUUUAACGAAGCCUAGUGGAAUCCUGAGUAGCGCGGAGCACGAGAAAUUCUGUGUGAAUCAGCGGGGCCCAUCCCGUAAGGCUAAAUACUCCCGAGAGACCGAUAGCGAACCAGUACUGUGAAGGAAAGGUGAAAAGCACCUCGAACAGAGGAGUGAAAUAGUCCCUGAAACCGUCUGCCUACAAGCGGUCGGAGCAACGUAAGUUGUGACGGCGUGCCUUUUGCAUAAUGAACCUACGAGUUACUUUCUCCGGCAAGGUUAAGGGCUUCAGGCCCGGAGCCGAAGCGAAAGCGAGUCUUAAUAGGGCGUGAUAGUCGGAGUGAGUAGACGCGAAACCAAGUGAUCUACCCUUGGUCAGGAUGAAGGUUGGGUAACACCAACUGGAGGUCCGAAUGGGUAUACGUUGAAAAGUGUUCCAAUGAACUGAGGGUAGGGGUGAAAGGCUAAUCAAACUUGGAGAUAGCUCGUACUCCCCGAAAUGCAUUUAGGUGCAGCCUUUAUUUAGUAUAGCAUGAGGUAGAGCGACUGAUUGGAUGCGAGGGCUUCACCGCCUAUCAAGUCCAGAUAAACUCCGAAUGCGUGCUAUAUAUUGAUAAGGAGUGAGGGCGCGGGUGCUAAGGUCCGCGUCCGAGAGGAGAAGAAUCCAGACCAUCAGCUAAGGUCCCCAAAUAACAGUUAAGUUGAACUAACGAAGUCGGACUGCAGAGACAGCUAGGAUGUUGGCUUGGAAGCAGCCAUUCAUUUAAAGAGUGCGUAACAGCUCACUAGUCGAGGAGUCCGGCGUGGAUAAUACUCGGGCAUAAACUGUUUACCGAAGCUAUGGAUGUAGAAAUACAUGGUAGGGGAGCAUUCCAACGGCGUCGAAGGUGAAGGAUGACCUUUGCUGGAGCUUUUGGAAACGCAAAUGUAGGUAUAAGUAACGAUAAAGGAGGUGAGAAACCUCCUCGCCGAAAGACUAAGGUUUCCUGAUCAACGUUAAUCGGAUCAGGGUAAGUCGGGACCUAAGGUUAAGCCGAACGGCGAUACCGAUGGAAGAAUGGUUUAAUAUUCCCAUACUACUUUAUGGAGCGAUGUGGAGACGGAGAAGUGAAAGUCCUGCCAUCUGACGGAAUAGGUGGUUGAAGAGUGUAGAUGUAGAUUCCUGUAGGCAAAUCCGCAGGGAGAGUCGACCUUGACAGUAUGCCGCGUGCUUGCACAAGGCAAAAUGGACGUAAUCAGGCUCCCAAGAAAAUCCGCUAAGCAUAUUCAUAAAGUACCCGUACCGUAAACGGACACACGUAGUUGGGUUGAAAAUACUGAGGCGCUCGAGUGAUUCACGGUUAAGGAACUAGGCAAAUUGACCCUGUAACUUCGGGAUAAAGGGUCCCUACUGAGAGGUAGGGCGCAGAGAAUAGGUCCAGGCAACUGUUUAACAAAAACACAUGGCUGUGCGAAAUAGAAAUAUGAAGUAUACAGCCUGACACCUGCCCGGUGCUGGAAGGUUAAGAGGAGAGCUCAUCGCAAGAGAAGGCUUGAAUUGAAGCCCCAGUAAACGGCGGCCGUAACUAUAACGGUCCUAAGGUAGCGAAAUUCCUUGUCGGGUAAGUUCCGACCUGCACGAAUGGUGUAAUGAUCUGGACACUGUCUCAACCGUGAGCU
rnacentral:rRNA from 1 species